UACGUAGGGGGGCAAGCGUUAUCCGGAUUUAUUGGGCGUAAAGAGCUCGUAGGCGGCUUGUCGCGUCGUCCCGUGAAAACUUGGGGCUCAACCCCCAAGCUUGCGGUCGAUACGGGCAGGGCUCGAGUUCGGUAGGGGAGACUGGAAUUCCCUGGUGUAGCGGUGAAAUGCGCCAGAUAUCAGGAGGAACACCAAUAGCGAAGGCAGCUCGCUGGGACGUUACUGACACUGAGGCGCGAAAGCGUGGGGGAGCGAA
rnacentral:rRNA from 1 species